rnacentral:rRNA from 1 species
UGGGGAAUAUUGGACAAUGGGGGGAACCCUGAUCCAGCCAUGCCGCGUGUGUGAAGAAGGCCUUAUGGUUGUAAAGCACUUUAAGCGAGGAGGAGGGUACUGGUAUUAAUACUACCAGGUACUGGACGUUACUCGCAGAAUAAGCACCGGCUAACUCUGUGCCAGCAGCCGCGGUAAUACAGAGGGUGCGAGCGUUAAUCGGAUUUACUGGGCGUAAAGCGUGCGUAGGCGGCUAAUUGAGUCGGAUGUGAAAUCCCCGAGCUUAACUUGGGAGUUGCAUUCGAUACUGGUUAGCUAGAGUGUGGGAGAGGAUGGUAGAAUUCCAGGUGUAGCGGUGAAAUGCGUAGAGAUCUGGAGGAAUACCGAUGGCGAAGGCAGACAUCUGGCCUAACACUGACGCUGAGGUACGAAAGCAUGGGGAGCAAACAGG